AGCAAACCGACCCUUCACCUCCUUACCUGCUCCCCUUAUCAGCUAGCUGCCUUCUGACCCUGGAGGGAGGAACUCUGGCUCCUAUUCCAUAGAUGAGGGAACUGAGGCUCAGAGAAGCUUCACACCAACUCCUGUCCUCCAAGGGAAGGCAGCAGGGAUCGUGGUGAUGUUCUGGGAAUGGGUGUGGCUGUUCCCAGGGAAUGGGGAUCCUCCCAUCCCAGCAAAGGACUAUCCAGCUGCACUCAGACCUCCUGGAUUCAAAUCUGUACAAUUAGACCCUUAGACCCUCUGUGCUUCAGUUUCCCCAACUGGAGAUAAUAGCAAGGCCAACCUCAUCUGGUUGUUGUGAGGAUUAAAUCCAUCACCUAAUGAGAAGCUUCCUGAAGGGGCUCAGCCCAACAUCCCCCGCCCAUCUCUGGGAGGACCCCCAGAUGGCAUCAGCCACAACAUUGCUCGGAAAAUGUCUCCCGUCCACAGGUCCCUCCUGACCAGCUCUUCUCCCCAACAAGAUCGUGUGCCCCUUGGGAAGCCACCUGGUCAGGUAGGCACUGCCAUGAGCCCCUGUUACAGGAGAGAACUGAGGCUCCCAGCCGGGCAGGGCUCACUCGAGGUCUAC
rnacentral:lncRNA from 1 species